AGAAAAUCCCGCUUAAUCAGCGCUGACUUACCGACGCGUCAACUCUUGGGCGCGGCCAUCUUGAUUUCUGGUCCUAAUGCCAACUCGCGUUUUAGGCUAGAUCUCGCGAGAUUUAGGGGGAUUUGCAUAGAUGAUGUCAUCAUUUUGUAGAAGAAAGCAAGCUCUUUCGUUUGAUGUGUGACAUGCCAACUUUCGCGAAUGUGGUGACUCCUUAACAAGACUGUUUGCAAGAGGCCAAAAAAGAUUCCCGAAAGUGACGACUCAAAUGUGAGCACGUACUAUUCCCCGCCAUCGAACACGAGUGUUGCAGACGAACACCCUCCAGAUUCCGACAGUGAUGUUCCAGCUGACCUGGAUGUGAGCACGCACACAUCACCGCAAAUCGGGGAACUGCACCCUGUAUCUUCUAGUUCUCCACACUCCCACGAGCAUUUUUCUGAGUUUCAGGUAGUUGUGAUUUUUUUUUAUCUUCCUUGUUGACCUUGUUAUGCUUUU